CUUCAACGGCGGCAGCAGGAGCAGCGGUGGGAGCAGAACUAACGGCUGCGUUGACAGGUGCCGUCGCCCGGCUCUGCGCGGAGAGAUGCCGCCCGUCCAGAGAACCGUGUCGGAUCUCCGCACCCGGUCUGAAGGAUAUGAAAAGACUGAGGACACAUCAGAAAAAACGUCCUUAGCUGAUCAAGAAGAUGCCCGAAUGAUAUACCUCAACCAGCCGCAGUUCACCAAGUUUUGCUGCAAUCGAGUCAGCACGGCAAAAUACAAUGUCCUGACCUUCCUUCCCCGGUUCCUCUACUCACAGUUCAGGAGGGCAGCCAACGCCUUCUUUCUCUUCAUUGCACUCUUGCAGCAAAUCCCAGAUGUGUCUCCCACUGGUCGUUGGACCACACUGGUGCCACUGCUCUUCAUCCUGGUGGUGGCUGCUGUCAAGGAGAUCAUUGAGGAUCUGAAACGUCACAUUGCUGACAAUGUUGUCAACAAAAAGGAAUGUCAAGUGUUAAGAAAUGGUGCCUGGGAAAUUGUGCACUGGGAAAAGGUGGCUGUUGGGGAAGUGGUCAGAGCUGCAAAUGGGGAUCACCUCCCGGCUGACCUCGUCAUUCUGUCGUCCAGUGAACCACAGGGAAUGUGCUACAUAGAAACAUCUAACUUGGAUGGAGAAACAAACCUUAAAAUCAGACAGGGUCUCCAAAUGACUGCAGAAAUAAAGGACAUCGACAGCCUGAUGCGUCUGUCUGGACGGAUGGAGUGCGAGAGCCCGAACCGCCAUCUCUAUGAGUUUGUUGGAAACAUGCGGCUGGACAGACACAGCACAAUGCCACUGAGUCCAGACCAGAUCUUACUGAGGGGAGCUCAGCUGAGGAACACCCAGUGGAUCCAUGGUGUGGUGGUUUACACUGGACAUGACACAAAGCUCAUGCAGAAUUCCACUCGGCCUCCUCUGAAGCUCUCCAACGUGGAACGCAUCACCAACUUUCAGAUCCUUGUGCUGUUUGGCUGGCUGCUCGCCAUCUCUCUGAUCUGCUCCAUCGGCCAAACCAUCUGGAAGUACCAGUAUGGCAAUGAUGCCUGGUACAUGGAUCUCAACUAUGGUGGGGCGGCUAACUUUGGCCUGAACUUUCUCACCUUCAUCAUCCUGUUCAACAACCUGAUCCCCAUCAGUCUCCUGGUCACACUGGAGGUCAUCAAGUUCAUCCAGGCCUUUUUCAUCAACUGGGACACUGAUAUGCUCUAUGAGCCCACAAACACACCUGCCAUGGCUCGCACAUCAAAUCUGAAUGAAGAAUUAGGCCAGGUGAAGUACAUCUUCUCUGACAAGACAGGGACGCUGACCUGCAAUGUCAUGCAGUUCAAGAAGUGCACCAUUGCAGGCGUGGCCUAUGGUCACGUCCCUGAGGCAGAGGAGGGUAGUUUUGCGGAGGACGACUGUCACAGCACACAGUCGUCAGAGGAGGCUGGAUUUAAUGACUCGAGUCUACUGGAAAACCUCCAAAGUAAUCACCCUACAGCUUCUGUCAUCAUGGAGUUCAUGACCAUGAUGGCCAUCUGUCACACUGCAGUCCCCGAGCGCACGGAUGGAAAAAUCACCUACCAGGCUGCGUCUCCAGAUGAAAGUGCUCUGGUGAAAGCGGCGCAGACCCUCGGCUUUGUGUUUUCUGGUCGAACCCCAGACACCGUCAUUGGGGAAAUGCUCGGAACAGAAGAGAGGUACGAGCUGCUUCAUGUGCUGGAGUUUACGAGUGUGAGGAAGAGGAUGUCUGUCAUCAUGCGCACCGCAUCUGGGAAGAUCCGCCUUUACUGCAAAGGAGCUGACACUGUGAUCUACGACCGACUGGCAGACAGCUCCAGGUACAAAGAGAUCACAUUGAAGCACCUGGAACAGUUUGCCACUGAGGGGCUUCGCACUCUCUGCUUCGCGGUGGCUGACAUCAGUGAGUCAACCUAUCAGAAUUGGCUGGAGAUCCACCAAAGAGCCUGCACCUCCCUGCAGAACAGAGCCCUCAAAAUGGAAGAGAGCUACGAACUGAUAGAGAAGAACCUGCAGCUCCUGGGGGCCACGGCGAUCGAGGACAAGCUUCAGGAUAAGGUGCCCGAGACUAUAGAGACUCUGAUGAAGGCUGACAUCAAGAUCUGGAUCCUGACUGGGGACAAACAGGAAACAGCCAUCAAUAUUGGACAUUCCUGCAAGCUGCUGACCAAGAACAUGGGAAUGCUUGUGAUCAACGAAGACACUCUUGAUGGAACAAGGGAACUACUCAGCCACCACUGCGGGAUGCUGGGAGAUGCCCUCUACAAGGAAAACGACUUUGCUCUCAUUAUUGAUGGGAAGACUCUGAAAUACGCCCUUUCGUUCGGAGUGCAGCAGUACUUCCUGGACCUCGCCCUCUCCUGUAAAGCUGUCAUAUGCUGCAGGGUAUCUCCUCUUCAGAAGUCAGAGGUGGUGGAGAUGGUCAAGAAAAAGGUAAAGGUGAUCACGCUGGCCAUUGGUGACGGUGCUAACGAUGUGGGAAUGAUCCAGACAGCUCACGUCGGCGUGGGAAUCUCAGGCAACGAGGGUCUGCAGGCGGCAAACUCCUCCGACUACUCCAUCGCCCAGUUCAAAUACUUGAAGAAUCUGCUGCUCGUCCACGGAGCCUGGAAUUACAACCGCGUAGCCAAGUGUAUCCUGUACUGCUUCUACAAGAACAUCGUCCUCUAUAUCAUCGAGAUCUGGUUCGCGUUUGUCAAUGGCUUCUCGGGUCAGAUUCUUUUCGAGCGCUGGUGCAUCGGCUUGUACAACGUGCUCUUCACUGCCCUGCCUCCUCUCACACUGGGCAUAUUUGAGCGGUCCUGCAGGAAAGAGAACAUGCUGAAAUAUCCAGAACUCUACAAAACCUCCCAGAAUGCCAUGGGUUUUAAUACCAAGGUCUUCUGGGCCCAUUGUCUGAAUGGCCUCUUCCACUCUGUCAUUCUCUUCUGGUUCCCCCUUAAAGCCUUCGAGCAUGAUACAGUUUUUGGCAGCGGACAAACUCCAGACUAUCUCCUCUUAGGCAACAUGGUUUACACAUAUGUGGUUAUCACAGUUUGUCUUAAAGCCGGCCUUGAGACCUCAUCCUGGACCAUGUUCAGUCACAUCGCCAUCUGGGGAAGCAUCGGCCUGUGGGUGGUGUUUUUCAUUAUCUACUCGUCCCUGUGGCCUCUCAUUCCUCUGGCUCCCGACAUGUCAGGCGAGGCGAGCACGAUGUUCAGUUCAGGCGUCUUCUGGAUGGGCCUGUUCUUCAUCCCGGUCACCUCGCUGGCCUUUGACGUGGCCUACAAAGUUGUGAAGAAAGUGUGCUUCAAGACUCUGGUGGAUGAGGUGCAGGAGCUCGAGGCUUUAUCCAAAGAUCCUGGAGCUGUGGUUCAUGGAAAGAGUUUGACGGAGAGGGCCCAGCUCCUGAAGAACGUCUUUAAGAAGAGCACAGUCAGUCUGUACCGGUCCGACUCCAUGCAGCAGAACCUGCUCCGUGGGGAUGAGACCGUUGUUCUGUGAUACUUUUUUUCAUUAUUCAAACCUCACCCCUUUGUUAAAAAUCUCCCUUCCCCCCCGUAGCUCACAGAUAGACGCCUCUCUCUCCUCUGUUUGUUUCCUCUGUCCACUUCCUGUCCCUCCACUCGUGUGCCCUGAGUUGAGUUCAGUACAGCCAGAUAACGGUGAAAUGAUGAAAUGUUAUUCCCCCACAAUGCACUCGUCUCAGCGGGGUCCUCUGAACUCACCCGCUGGCCUCCAGGUACUGACAGAGUCAUUUGACACCUGAAGAUGGCUACGCCUUCUCUCAAGAUGAGAACGGGGUGGUGUCUCAGUCGGAGGUCAUCCGAGCGUACGACACCACCAAGCAGAGGACCAACGAGUGGUGAGCCGCCGGCCUCCUCGUUCGCGGCUGGCCGAUCCAGAGCCACCACAAGCCGUUUGUAGUGGGCGGUAUUUGAAGGGAUUUUGGACAUGAUCUCGAAAAGGACGGAGAAAAGUGACAUUGGGUAAUCUCUGAAAAAAGGGGAGAGAGGAAAAAAAACAAACAAGGAACAAAACAAACCGUGUUCACUAUCAGCUGUAGUUGUGUGUCCAGCAGACAUGAUGAGCACUGUGCUUUCUUCGCAGUCUGUGGUCUUUUCACUGUUCUCAGCUCAGUCUGUCGGACAGAACGUGUCCUAACUAUUGAUUUAAGGACGCUCGCCGGCACGGAGCUCAAAAUCGUUGUAUUGAAUCCAAUCAAACUCCUCAAACACUGUUAUUAUAAAAGUUUAAACACUGGACGAUGAUUAGCUUCUAGAGGUUUUGAACUUGUGACAGAUUGCCAAAGAGCAGUCGUAUAUACAAUCUAUCCAAGUACUAGUGAAUUCGGAAAACUCUAAACCAAAUGUAAUUACACUGCUGAGUGUAUUCCAGCACUGAACCGACCACUUCAGAGCAGAUAUGUAAUAAUUUAAUUUUCUGUUUUGCACUUAAGGAAGCAUCUCUUGUGUAAAGCCUUACAUUUGCUCAUGCCUUCAUCUUUAUUUGUUGUAAACCAGAUUGUUUUCUUGUUUUUAUAGUAUGUUAGAUAUUGUGCCUGGUGUUGUUUAGUUUGAUUUUAAGUUUUAGGAAGUUGCCUCCAGCAGCUCACUGUAGUCGUGUUUCCACCGUUGUUACAGCAGAAGCAUUGCUCUCGACGAAUAACGGCAUUCCACACAUCACUUCCUGUCUCAACGAUCACGACGGUGCCUACGUAGAAACCUUUCCCUCUUUAGAAGAAAAUCGAUAGCCAAGAAUAGUUUAACCAGCUAGCUUAGAGCCGUGCUGCACACACACCUACUGAAGACAAAAUCACUGUCCCCCCCCCACCACAGUGUUGCACUCGCACAGUGUGAAAGCUGCAGUAUUGUGUCGCGUGGCACAUGUGAACCUGAAGAAACGUCCCUGCGGAGGUGAGCGGGCGAUGAGGGUCUCGUUGAAGCCGAAGGUGGUGCCAGUGUUUUCCCUUAAAAUGGAGAUUUUAUCCUUAUAACAUAAGUGCCAUUAGCUUAAGGGAGAGAGAAAUAUUAGCCAGAAAAACUCCACAACAUUAUCAAAACUACUUUGUCUCUAUAGUUAUUUUGUGGAUUUGUAUUUUUAUAUUGGAGAUGUAUGACUUUUGCAUUGACCGGCUUUGUAACGACUCGUCUGUAACUCUUUUGUUUCUUCUGAUAAACUGGCAGGAUAGAAUAGAUCGGAUGAGACGACUGAGCUUUCUUAAAUGUCUUGUUGUUAUUGAUAUUAAUAUUGUUAUCGCUUGAUUUAUUUAUGAUUGACUCUCUAAUGUCUGUGCGGUUGCGUUCUUCUCCCUAUGGGAGAUCAGAUUUCAGACAGUGCGAGUGUGUGCGUCAGUUUAUUGCCUGCAUGUGCACGUGCUGUGUGUGUGUGUGUGUGUGUCUGCGUAAGUGCGUCGCCUCGACAGAGGACAUCUUCUAUGUAAGCACUGCAUGUCUGUAUCCUCCACGUGAGAGCGGGAGAUCACUUCUCCUGGUGGGUUUCUUUUAAUGUUUUGUGUGUGUGUUUGUUGUGUGCAUCAGUGUGUAUGACAGAGACGCUUGCUUGUCUGUCUGCACGACUCCAGGUAUAGCUAUGGUGUUCUACUGUGUGCUGGUGCAUGGCUCGUAAGGGACGGUGUGAGUGUCUGUGUGUGUUAUGAAUGAGCGCGUGUGUGUUUGUGAGUCAGACUCUCGACUGUGAGUUUUUUGAUGUUCAGCUCUGCUUUGACAGGAGACGUUGCACAAUACGCUCAAUGUACCCUUCCAGUACAUCUGGUGUUCUCUGGUUGCGGUAAAUGAUUUCUCUUGAGUGUUACUUGACAGGAAAGCUUGUUUGUGUGUCUCAGUUUAUUGAGGGUUAAUGGUUUCUUUUUUCUCCCUCUGCUGGUCUUUAAUGUUAAAACUUUUAAUCGGUCGUCAUCUUGUCGCAACUUUCCAAACCGCUGAAUGUGGAUGUUGUCGUUGUGGAAGGCUUGGACUGUUGCUUACUUUUUCCCAGAAAACAUAAAACACACACGUUGUUGUUUGUGAAAGUCGUGGGCUGCAUGAAUGGAAAACACAAGCUGUUCUCUGACGUGUUAACUGUACUUUUAAUUCUUUCUCGAGUGUUGAUCACUUUACAAAAGAGGAAAAAACUGCACCUUUUAUUAUUUUCAAUAUUCUUUUCUGUUAUUUUGUUCAAUGAUUGUUUUGCAUGUUGGGACUGCAAACUUAUAAGUGUUGUCUUUUACUGCCAUGAAGGACUACUGAAAUAAACUUUACAACGAUGGAGGAACAUUGUGAACUUCA